rnacentral:rRNA from 1 species
UACGAAGGGGGCUAGCGUUGUUCGGAAUCACUGGGCGUAAAGCGCACGUAGGCGGAUGUGCCAGUCAGGGGUGAAAUCCCGGGGCUCAACCCCGGAACUGCCUUUGAUACUGGGUAUCUCGAGUCCGGAAGAGGUGAGUGGAAUUCCGAGUGUAGAGGUGAAAUUCGUAGAUAUUCGGAGGAACACCAGUGGCGAAGGCGGCUCACUGGUCCGGUACUGACGCUGAGGUGCGAAAGCGUGGGGAGCAAACAGG